CUGCGAAAAGCUGCGGGGAUUGGCACAUACAAAUUGAUCCGCAGAUAUCCGAAUGGGGCAACCCACUAUAUUGAAGAUAUAGUAUCCUUUAAGGAGGCGAACCCGGAGAACUGAAACAUCUAAGUACCCGGAGGAAGAGAAAACAAUUAGUGAUUCCGUUAGUAGUGGCGAGCGGACGCGGAACAGCCCAAACCACUUUGGUUACGGCCAGAGUGGGGUUGUAGGACUGCGACAUCUUAACUAAAAUGAAUUGGAACGACUUGGGAAAGUCGGCCGUAGAGGGUGAGAGCCCCGUACAGGUAAGUUUUAGAGCGGUAGCAGUAUCCUGAGUAGGGCGGGGCAGGUGAAACCCCGUUUGAAUCUACCGGCACCAUCCGGUAAGGCUAAAUACUCCUGAGAGACCGAUAGUGAACCAGUACCGUG
rnacentral:rRNA from 10 species